GCCCAGUCACCAGUAAACACAUUAACCCCUAUCAGUGCCCAUUGCGGAUGUUGCGAGGAAAGAACUAAAUUUGGAAAAUUCUUUUACAUUAUUCUGGAGAAAGUAUAACUUUGAUUACUUUUUUUUUCGUUGAACGGAGUAAAAAAUGCCUCAACUUCAGUCCGUCAAGCGCCUUAAGCAUUUGCAACUGAUUUUCAUCUGUUGUCUAAUAUUUUACUGGAUUCACAAUGUGAGUGGCGCAAUACGCCGCGUACCCGAUCGUUCGCGAAUACCAUGUGAAAAUCCUGAACCGCUACCAAAUGGUUUUUCAGCGCCGCGACGUCGCAACAUGAUGCUGUUACACUAUUGCAAUUACGGCUUCAAGUUGUUCGGUGAUCGGCGUACGACAUGCAACCGCGGCAAAUGGGUUGGCAAUCGUCCAAUAUGUGCAAGCAAUGUAUGUAGUAGUCCAACGAAGAAUCCAGAAAAUGGCAGAAUACAAUAUGUGGAUCAGUAUCAUAUCGGUGUCUACUGUUCGGAAGGCUUUGAAUUGGCUGGUAACCGAUAUGCAUAUUGCAACGGCACCGAUUGGGAUCGUCCGCUGGGCUAUUGUAGACGGCGCCCCGGCAGAGUGAGUCAUGAAUGUGAUUUUGAGCCAGACGACAUGUGCGGUUGGGUUACAGACAUAGCCGACGGUUUCCAAUGGAAACGCACCAUGGCCACUAAUGUGUUCACCUCAUUUCACACGGGACCGCGUCACGAUCACACUACAAUGCAAGCCAGCGGUGGCCACUAUAUGCUGAUGGAAAGUUUCGGUGCCACAUCAACGCCAGCCGCCCUCACCUCACCCAUAUAUGAACGUGCGAUAAGCCUGAAGACUGCGUGUUGCUUUCAAUUUUACUAUUUAAUGUAUGGCGCUGGUGUUGGCAAUUUAAGAGUCUACAUUAAACCGUUGACGAAAAUGCUAUCGGAAGUUAUUGACGACAAAGAAACCUAUUUAAAAUUCACCAAGUCUGGCAAUCAGAAUAAUAACUGGAACGAGGCGCACUUUAGUAUCGACGAACAGGAAGACGAUUUUCAAAUAGUAUUCGUCGCGGAUGGCGCUAAGAAUCACUUAAGCGACAUCGCUAUAGACGAUGUGAAAUUAAUGUUUGGUACCGAGUGUAAGGCUUUGGAUAAUCAUGAUGAUGAACCCGAUGACUCCGCCGAGUAUGAACCCACCACUACAGAACUAUCACUGUUUGACACUUUGUCGUGCGUGUCACGUUGCGGCACUGAGACGAAUAGCGGUAUAAUGCGUAAUGCUACACAUUUGAUAGGUCUUUGCAGUUGUCACGAUAGUUGUAUAGCGGACGAUGAUUGCUGUCCGGACUAUACGAAAGUGUGUCUCGAUUCGCCUCCGGAGUCGUCAACGGUAAAUAUACCGGAAACUACAACAACUACGGUUAGAAGUGAUACGAAAUCGACAACAACAACGUUAAAAGAAAUUAUAAUCGCAAAACCAACAACCACCUCAAGCACAACAACAACCACAACAACAACAACAACGACAACAACAACCCAAAAACCCACUACAACAACCAAAAAACCCACAACAACAAGUACAACCACUACAACCUUGCCUCCGACUACAUCAACCACACGUAAGCCGACAACAAUAGCAAAAACCACAACCACAACACGUAAGCCGACAACAACGAGCACGCGCAAGCCGAUAACCAUCUCAUCCACAACACCGAAACCAAAGCCUACAACUACUAAACGCACAACACCCUCAACAACAACAACAACUACUACCACUACAAUUCGUACAAUUCCAACAACAGUAACGUCGUCUACAAAACGCUCCACUACGUCAACCACAACCUUACCUGCGACUCAGCCUUACACACUCUACACACAACCUAUUUUAAGCGUGACCACUGUCGCAAAUAUUAACCGCAAAACUGCCGCAGGCGAGACCAAGGAAUUGUCAACAAGUCAUCCAACAGAGGCUCAGAGCUGUUUGACUAUUGCAUACUUUCAGGCGUCGAAUUUCAUCAGUGGCUUUAUACAUUAUUUUUGGCUUACUAUAUGUAUAUGCGUGCUCAAUACGUGACAUAAGCUUGAUUUUCAUUUAGUGCAGAACAAAUCGCUCCAUAGCAACUAGAGAUGAAUGAAUUGCACACAUUACUACAUGCGAAAAGCAGUGGGAGAAAUCGAGUGUGAACGGGUGAAUAAGUAACAUCUGUCAAUUAACAGCACGCUGUCGUAGAACAUCAGGUGAACAUAAGUCAACUGCAUGCAAAUAUGCAGCAACAAAUACUGUAAACAAAAAGGACAAAUGGAAAGGAAAGGAAUGCGUACGUGACUUUAUUGGAAAGGAUGAAUGUAUGCACAUAAGUAUUUGCUCGAAAAUAUUGUGAACUGCUGCGUGGAUGGCUGCGCUAAAACUUCUUUUUGAUCACCUGACAUUAUGACGAUUUAUUUGAUAUGAGCGAUCAGUAAAAGUGAGCAGGAGAAAAUAAAUGUGUUAGUUCAAAUUUACCAGCGCACUACAGUCGUAUAUGGAUUACCUCCAAAAAUACAAGGAAGCUGUAAACUUUUGCCUGAUUUCUGUACCUCCAAAAAUGAAAGGAAAAAUGCCUGCUUUCUGUUGGCAUGAGCAGUCUAUAUUAUUCAAGUUUUAUACAUAAAACACAGUAAGGCCCGUUUUAGGAGAUCGCACAGAAUCUUAAGCAGGAGAUGAAAUAAAAUUAGCAUUUGCUGUAAUAGGUCCCGAACUGACUCUCGUGGAAUCGCUUUGUGAUCAUCUACUUCAAAAUGCGAAACAAGCUGACAAUUGGAAGCGCAUAAGAAAUGCAUUUAAAUAUUGAUCUGUUAUUAUGAUAUGAAAAACAUUUUAAGUGACUCAUAUAUCUAAUAAAAAUCUAUAAAGUCUGGCUGAA